rnacentral:pre_miRNA from 1 species
CUUAUACUCCCUUCGUUCCAAAUUACUUGUCACAGAAAUGGAUGUAUCUAGAACUAAAAUACAUCUAGAUACAUCCAUACCUGCGACAAGUAAUUCGGAACGGAGGGAGUAUCUU